AGAGCCGGUUCGGCGCGUCGACUGCCCAGAGUCCGCGGCCGGGGCGCGGGAGGCUGGAGUGUGGUGACACUACCUUGACUCACUGCAGCAUCUGCCUCCCGGGUUCCAGUGAUUCUCCUGCCUCAGCCUCUCAGGUAGCUGGGAUUACAGGUCCCUGUGAUGCUGGGAAACUGAGUCACGGAGGCGGGGAGAGAUGUGUUUGAGGAAUUGGGCUGAGACCGUGAUCUCACCCCCGUCAGGCCUGGUGGGCUCCUUUGACACUCAGCGGCAGGAGCCAAGCCGCCAUGGCCUACCACAGCUUCCUGGUGGAGCCCAUCAGCUGCCACGCCUGGAACAAGGACCGCACCC
rnacentral:lncRNA from 1 species